ensembl:lncRNA
GUAAAUUUUACAUAUUUCCUUGAUCCACCAGCACAGACAUACAAAUAUCAAGUGCACAUUUUCUAUUGCCAGUAUUGUUCUGAGCAGAGGCGUACGUUUCGUUAUGCAUGCGUGGGACAUGUCCCCACUUUUUGAAAAUGGCAAAAGAAAAGUUCAAUCUCUUUGGAGUGGUGUGGUGGGAGUACGCGGGAUCAAAUGGUGACCAUGAUAGGGGUUCCUGCCACAGCAGGGAGGAAAGGUCAACCAUGGAGCUGAGAUGGAAUGUCCCUGCAUAGCAAUAGUCUUUAAAGUGGAUAACUUAAACAAAAUGAUGUUAUAAAGUGUAGCCCAUACCUUGAAUGUUCAUAUUUCUUUGACUAACCUGAAGGAUGUUGUCCAGUCUAGUAAUGCUAGAUUAAUUUGUGAAAUACAUGUACUGUUCGAAGUACAUAGAUCACCUUAUAUCAGCCACACACAUUGCAAUACAUAUCUGUUGUAGCUCUUCACUAAGAGCACACACGACGAUAUCUUAAAUAAGUAAUAUUAAAUGAGACGGCUGAAGGCCGUUUUAUUUUUUUAACCCAUGGGCAUUUGCAAAAAAUAUUUGUACCCCUCACAUUUGACGUCAAACCUACUUGCCUGAUAUUUUCUACUAAAACUGGAUUAUAGCGGAUGUGGGAUGUAUAAUGCAACAUAAUUUAUUCAGUUUACAUUAUUUCAAAACUAUUGGUCAUUGAACAUGGAACCAAAAAGUCUGUGUGAAUAUGAAAUUAAACAUAUUUCAUGUACUUUAUAGUGAAAUGAAAAUAUCAGGCUGUCCCAUUGUAAAUGUUUCAAAAUAAUGAGAGAAAAAGACAAUAUAAGGCUGUUUGAAUAAUUUUGUAAGACUGUAGAACAUUUGUUCUUGCCGUCAUACUAAUAAAUUACGUCUUGAAAUUCAUGGAAUGUUUAGUUUCAAGUAUACUUGUAUACCAAUGUUUGCCUUUGAUGACAUUAGAUGGCACUAUGCUUAUCCUAAUAAUGAUGUUGAAGCCAACUCCUUAAUUAAUAUGGUUAUUCUCUUAGCAAAAUUCUACAUUCAUAAAUGCAAAUGGAGCUCUUACAUUUCCAUCAAUACAUCAGUUUGGUAAAGCAUAAAAAGUCUAAACAACUUCUCAAAACCAUGUUUCAAUUAAUGUCUUGGUAUAAAUGCCUUGCUUUUUGUGACGGUAACAGGCAUCUUUUUUUAAUCUUUUUUUGUUAAACCCAUUAUAGUGCAUAUUAUUCAAUACUCUUGGUUUUUAUUUCUGUUCUUUGUUCCUUUUAUGUAAACCCUGAAUUGUCCCUAUUUAGAUUUGUGUUGUUU